UACGUAGGGCGCAAGCGUUGUCCGGAAUUAUUGGGCGUAAAGAGCUCGUAGGCGGCUUGUCACGUCGGAUGUGAAAGCCCGGGGCUUAACUCCGGGUCUGCAUUCGAUACGGGCUAGCUAGAGUGUGGUAGGGGAGAUCGGAAUUCCUGGUGUAGCGGUGAAAUGCGCAGAUAUCAGGAGGAACACCGAUGGCGAAGGCAGGUCUCUGGGCCACUACUGACGCUGAGAAGCGAAAGCAUGGGGAGCGAACAGG
rnacentral:rRNA from 1 species